GCUGGUGGAGCGGUGGCCUUGCAGGGGUCGCGACGGUGGUCUCUGCUCUAAGUUUCGUAUGAAGUUGUUUGGAGGCUUUGAUGUAUUCCAAUUAUUUGGCUUGGUGUAUUUUGAGAUUUGGGAUU